AUACGGAGGGUGCAAGCGUUACUCGGAAUCACUGGGCGUAAAGCGCGCGCAGGCGGCUAUUUAAGUUGGAUGUGAAAGCCUACGGCUCAACCGUAGAACUGCAUCCAAAACUAUUUAGCUAGAGUGUGGGAGAGGAAGAUGGAAUUAGUUGUGUAGGGGUAAAAUCCGUAGAGAUAACUAGGAAUACCAAAAGCGAAGGCAAUCUUCUGGAACACCGCUGACGCUGAGGCGCGAAAGCGUGGGGAGCAAACAGGAUUAGAUACCCUAGUAGUCC
rnacentral:rRNA from 1 species